rnacentral:rRNA from 1 species
AUACGUAGGGGGCGAGCGUUGUCCGGAAUGAUUGGGCGUAAAGGGCGCGUAGGCGGCGCGGUAAGUCUGGAGUGAAAGUCCUGCUUUCAAGGUGGGAAUUGCUUUGGAAACUGCCGCGCUUGAGUGCAGGAGAGGUUAUCGGAAUUCCCGGUGUAGCGGUGAAAUGCGUAUAGAUCGGGAGGAACACCAGUGGCGAAGGCGGGUAACUGGACUGCAACUGACGCUGAGGCGCGAAAGUGUGGAGAGCAAACAGGAUUUGAGACCCUGGUAGUCCACACGGUAAACGAUGAUUGCUAGGUGUAGGGGGUAUCGCGCCCUUCUGUGCCGCAGGCAACACAAUAAGCAUUCCGCCUGGGGAGUACGGCCGCAAGGUUGAAACUCAAAGGAAUUGACGGGG